CAGCAGCCGCGGGAAUACGGAGGGUGCAAGCGUUAAUCGGAAUUACUGAGCGUAAAGCGCACGCAGGCGGUUUGUUAAGUCAGAUGUGAAAUCCCCGAGCUUAACUUGGGAACUGCAUUUGAAACUGGCAAGCUAGAGUCUUGUAGAGGGGGGUAGAAUUCCAGGUGUAGCGGUGAAACGCGUAGAGAUCUGGAGGAAUACCGGUGGCGAAGGCGGCCCCCUGGACAAAGACUGACGCUCAGGUGCGAAAGCGUGGGGAGCAAACAGGAUUAGAUACCCCUGUAGUCCCUGUCUCUUAUAA
rnacentral:rRNA from 1 species